rnacentral:lncRNA from 1 species
UCAGCAUCGAUGAACAAUUAAACAUAUUAAAAUAUCAGCUGGGGUGGGAAAACAACAUAACUGCACACCGUUUUGGUCGACAAACUUAUUUUGGAGUGCACAAAAAACACGUAAUGCAUAAUGUGACUUGACAUCAUGCAAUAUUGCAAGACAUGUGCAGAAGAAACGAAUAAAAAAAGUUCAUUCAAUUCAAUUCAUUUUAUACCUACCACAACAAUGUCCACUGCCAGCAUGCAGCUGAGCUCUUUUUCCAGGCAAAUAUUCACCUCGAACUGCAUGAAAAACUAAUGUUGUUGUUCUCUCUUGCGAUAGAAAAAAAAAAAAAAAGUGCGAAAACAACACAAGCAGAGGCAGCCAGCAGCACCUGCCAUGUCAUAGGGAGGGGCUUCGGGUUUGGGUAUUUGUUCUGGGGUUCAUUCAUGCGUUUUUAUCUGGUCUUUUGAUAUUAACCCCAGAAUCAGCCGACCAUCGUGGUGGCUUGUUGUUCCUCUGACGUGUAGCCCUUUUGAUUAAUGUGUCCCCAUAACGUAUCAAAUCUACAGACAUUGAUGUGAUGCCACGUGGCUAAAGUGAUACCAUCAGAGAGGAGAUGCCCUUAGGCACACGUGCGGUGUCGGCCUUUGAACGGAACAAACUGCGUGGUUGUUGUCCCGAUAUGUGAGAGGAAACGGCCAAAAGCUACAAAGCUAAGAUUGACAACGCACUAGGUUUCUGGGUUCUAUUGGGCAUCCGUGGAUGUUUUUUGUUGGGUAACCGGCAAGCACUUAUAUUUUCCACUGUUACAAUUAAUAAUGUAAAUUAUUGGCGACAUCUAUUAUAAUACACUUACGUACGUGCUUCGAC